GCGGUCGUAGCUCAGAUGGAUAGAGCACGAGAUUCCUAAUCUCGGUGUCAAGGGUUCGAAUCCCUUCGAUCGCACCA
rnacentral:tRNA from 1 species